rnacentral:rRNA from 1 species
UGGGGAAUAUUGCACAAUGGGCGCAAGCCUGAUGCAGCAACGCCGCGUGAGGGAUGACGGCCUUCGGGUUGUAAACCUCUUUUAGCAGGGAAGAAGCGAAAGUGACGGUACCUGCAGAAAAAGCACCGGCUAACUACGUGCCAGCAGCCGCGGUAAUACGUAGGGUGCAAGCGUUGUCCGGAAUUAUUGGGCGUAAAGAGCUCGUAGGCGGUCUGUCGCGUCUGCUGUGAAAUCCCGAGGCUCAACCUCGGGCCUGCAGUGGGUACGGGCAGACUAGAGUGCGGUAGGGGAGAAUGGAACUCCUGGUGUAGCGGUGGAAUGCGCAGAUAUCAGGAAGAACACCGAUGGCGAAGGCAGUUCUCUGGGCCGUAACUGACGCUGAGGAGCGAAAGCGUGGGGAGCGAACAGGAUUAGAUACCCUGGUAGUCCACGCCGUAAACGUUGGGCGCUAGAUGUGGGGCACCAUUCCACGGUUUCCGUGUCGCAGCUAACGCAUUAAGCGCCCGCCUGGGGCAGUACGGCCGCAAGGCUAAAACU